AUCGCUUCUCGGCCUUUUGGCUAAGAUCAAGUGUAGUGUAGAACUGUUGCAUAGUUUAUCAUAUGUCCAUAGUCUUGUCACUUUUUUAAAGAUUUUCUGUUAUGCUAUAAGGGUAACAGUUCUCUAACUUAAAAAUUCUGUAGCUAAUUUUUUUGGAGGAGAGUUUUGUUAUCGAUACGAAAAUCUUCUUGUAGACUCCCAAAACUGUGCUACUUACAGGUCAGUCUGAUUAUCU
rnacentral:snRNA from 1 species